GACGAACGCUGGCGGCGUGCCUAAUACAUGCAAGUCGAACGCAGAGGGGACGGGUGAGUAACACGUGGGUAACCUCCCAUCAGAGGGGAUAACACUUGGAAACAGGUGCUAAACCGAUACUGAUGGAUGGAACCGCGGUGCAUUAGCUAGUUGGGGAGGUAAAGGCUCACCAAGGCCACGAUGCAUAGCCGACUGGAGAGGGUGUGCACACACACUGGGACUGAGACAGGUCCCUGACUCCUACGGGAGGAAGCAUUAGGGAAUGUUCGACAAUGGACGAAAGUAUGACCGAGAAACGCCGCGUGAGUGAAGAAAGUUUUCGGAUCGUAAAACUCUGCGGUUAGAGAAGCGGUAUCUAACCAGAAAGCCGCGGCUAACUACGUGCCAGCAGCCGCGGUAAUUC
rnacentral:rRNA from 1 species